GCUCAGUAACACGUGGUCAAACUACCCUACGAAGACCCAUAACCUCGGGAAACUGAGGCUAAUAGGUCAUAGGAGAGUCACGCUGGAAUGCCGACUCUCCCAAACGCUCAGGCGUCGUAGGAUGUGGCUGCGGCCGAUUAGGUAGACGGUGGGGUAACGGCCCACCGUGCCGAUAAUCGGUACGGGUUGUGAGAGCAAGAGCCCGGAGACGGAAUCUGAGACAAGAUUCCGGGCCCUACGGGGCGCAGCAGGCGCGAAACCUUUACACUGCACGCAAGUGCGAUAAGGGGACCCCAAGUGCGAGGGCAUAUAGUCCUCGCUUUUUCCGACCGUAAGGUGGUCGGCGAAUAAGGGCUGGGCAAGACCGGUGCCAGCCGCCGCGGUAAUACCGGCAGCCCAAGUGAUGACCGAUAUUAUUGGGCCUAAAGCGUCCGUAGCCGGCCAUGAAGGUUCAUCGGGAAAUCCGCCAGCUUAACUGGCGGGCGUCCGGUGAAAACCACGUGGCUUGGGACCGGAAGGCUCGAGGGGUACGUCCGGGGUAGGAGUGAAAUCCCGUAAUCCUGGACGGACCACCGAUGGCGAAAGCACCUCGAGAAGACGGAUCCGACGGUGAGGGACGAAAGCUAGGGUCUCGAACCGGAUUAGAUACCCGGGUAGUCCUAGCUGUAAACGAUGCUCGCUAGGUGUGGCACAGGCUACGAGCCUGUGCUGUGCCGUAGGGGAAGCCGAGAAGCGAGGCCGCCUGGGAAGUACGUGCGCAAUGG
rnacentral:rRNA from 1 species